rnacentral:rRNA from 1 species
CGAACGGGUGUACGGGAUGGAAGAUUUCGGUCGGAAGCCCCGUGCAUGAGUGGCGGACGGGUGAGUAACGCGUGGGCAACCUGCCCUGUACAGGGGGACAACACUUAGAAAUAGGUGCUAAUACCGCAUAACGGGGGGAGCCGCAUGGCUUUCCCCUGAAAACUCCGGUGGUACAGGAUGGGCCCGCGUCUGAUUAGCUGGUUGGCAGGGUAACGGCCUACCAAGGCGACGAUCAGUAGCCGGCCUGAGAGGGCGGACGGCCACACUGGGACUGAGACACGGCCCAGACUCCUACGGGAGGCAGCAGUGGGGGAUAUUGCACAAUGGGGGGAACCCUGAUGCAGCGACGCCGCGUGGGUGAAGGAGCGUUUCGGCGCGUAAAGCCCUAUCGGCAGGGAAGAAGGAGGACGGUACCUGACUAAGAAGCCCCGGCUAACUACGUGCCAGCAGCCGCGGUAAUACGUAGGGGGCAAGCGUUAUCCGGAUUUACUGGGUGUAAAGGGGGCGUAGACGGCAAUGCAAGUCCGGAGUGGAAUGCGGCAGCUCAACCCCCGAACUGCUCUGGAAACUGUGUGGCCCCAUUCCUUGAGGGGUAAGCGGAAUUCCUGGUGUAGCGGUGAAAU